CCUGCUUCUAUGAAUUGCGUAAGACCAAAUAGACCAUUUAAAAAAAAAAAAUAUUCCUCAAAUGUCUGACCAAAGGCGCAAGUAUAUGGCUGAAAGAUCCUGUCAUAUGCUGAAGAUAGAAAUGAGUUUUUCUAAUUUUUCUACAUCUACUUAAUAAGAAAAAUGUUUUCAAUACUUAAUGGAAGCCUAUUAGCUAUGGUGUGUUAUUCAAC